rnacentral:rRNA from 1 species
UACGGAGGAGGCAAGCGUUAUCCGGAAUUAUUGGGCGUAAAGCGUCCGCAGGUGGCACUUCAAGUCUGUCGUCAAAGACUGGGGCUUAACCCUGGAAAGGCGGUGGAAACUGAAGCGCUAGAGUGCGGUAGGGGUAGAGGGAAUUCCCGGUGUAGCGGUGGAAUGCGUAGAGAUCCGGAAGAACACCGGUGGCGAAGGCGGUCUGCUGGGCAGUUGCUGACACUGAGGCGCGACAGCGUGGGGAGCAAACAGG